ACAAAGACAUUAAAAAACAACAUAGCUACUGUAGAGGAAGGGAGGAUAUGUAAAGGAACGGAAUUGUCAAAUAGGAUGUGGGGUUUUUUUCUUCCUUUAUCUAGGCUGUUUCUUCUUUUCAAUUCAGGAUGCAAGAGAGCCAAGUCAGAGGUUCUGUUCUGAGCUUUUCCACUGACGUGCUUGGUGAGCCUGGGCUCCUGACAUUUGGCUCCAAGUGUCAGCUGCAGAGCAUAAUUUGAAGCCAGUGGGAGCAGCUGAGGAAUAAACUACCACCCAAUUCAUGGAAGGGCAUCAGAAUCUGACCUGCUCUGCUUGGCCAUUCAUUAUUUCUCCAAUAUCUGUCAAUGGAUAUUCUUGGAUGAUAUAUGGAUAUUUAGAAAUGUAUCGCCAAAUCAUGCUAAAUAACUUCUACUUGUGCUGUCAAAUUUCCUGGUGAUUCCAUUGAGAAUUCUUUUCAGGAUUUGUACUUUCUCUCCUGCUUCUCACUGAGGCAGGCUUUUUUUGUGUGUGCGUGUGUAUGUAAUGGAUAAUAGUGUCAUCUUUAAUCUUCUCUUUCACGUAGUUUUUCUUUUGUCCUCUGCUGACUUCUUCCACACAGAGACAUGUUAGAAAACUGGGCCUCCUGAGAAACACGUCAUUGAAAGAAAUGUGUGCAAAUGAAACAUCCCCCUGUCUCAAAUCCCAGAUGGGAGAACUGAAGUGAGUCUGUCACUGAGCUUGAGCCAUCAUUCAAACCCAGAGUUCUGAGUAAGCUGGGAUACUUUCAGAUGGGAAACCCAUUUCCCACCAGCACUGACCGAAGCAUAUUACCCUCACUCAGAUAAAACUCUUCCAUUUUGUUGGAAAUAAGACUGCAUCUCCUAUGCUCACUGUCAUGCAUUUUCAGGCUUGCUUUCGUACCAUGUGAAGUGGAUAGCAAUGCUGCUGAGGUCAAUGGGCGAGUUAUUAACGCUAAAAAGCAUUAAUAACAACAAAGCAACAUGCUGAAGAACUGGGAAGAAAAGCUGAGAAUCGGGAAAUAAAGAGGAAGAUGGGGCAGUAAUGGGGAGGACAUUUGUCCUGUAUUCCUGUACAUACCUUCUCCCAAGACUCUCUCACUCUACACUGACAUGACGGUGGAAUUAAAGAAGUAUUUCUUCAUAAAAAGCAAAUGUUUAUUCCAACCCUGUGGAGUCUGAGGAAAUGGUGAGGCUGCUCAGCACCUGCCGAUGCUAAUGGACAUGCUGCUGAACAUAGGGUGGAGAGGACCCUGAUGGUAAGCACCACGUGAGAUGGAUGUCCACCUGGGAAGCCCAAGACACAGUCAAGAACAUGAAGCUGCAGAAACUGAACAGCCAGAAAUGAAGCACAUCAUCACAACUGAAUAAGAAUUAAACAAAGAAACUCUUCUGUAUGCACACCGUUUAAGCAGGAAAGUGAUUUCAUUGCAAGGGUACAAGCUGCUCUGCUGCUCUCAGAGCUACAUGAACUCUCCUACCAGAGGAACUGGGGUCUUACCUGGAGCCUGAGCUCUCAGCACAUCUCAGCGCAGCACAGGAGCUGCAUGCUGCAAAGUGAGCUGCCAAGGAACUCCUAACACAGACUGCAAGAAGAUUCUUGUCCCAUAAUUGAGAUCUGCAUAUUUGUUUUGAUUGUUGCACUGCAAAAUACCUCAGCGAAGCUACAAAGGGUAUAUUUGACAUCUAUUUCUGACAGGUUUUUCUACAACAUUCACCAAAGCAGUGUUUUGUGUGCCUUCUCUUCUGUUGUAUUUACCACAUUAAUUAUCCAUGCAUUAACACAGUUUACAGUCACUUUCAUUUAUGUUAGUGCUGCAUUCUCACUUUAUGGGUAACUUUGUUUACCAAUUCCUUCCCGCUGGCUUGCCUGAAGGUAAUGCUUUGUUCUGCACCAGCACUGCCCUGCUCAGCUGCAGCAUGGCUCUCCGAACAAGGUCCAUGCUGCUAGCUCUGUUCAGAGGAUGGCCAAAAGAGGGAAGAACAAUUGUAGUGCCAUCAGUUUGCAUUGGUUGUUCUGCUUAAAUUCUGGGCCACUGCACUCUCCUGAAGGACUUUCCCCACAGUCAGAUUGGUCUUUCUGUCAGAGCUGUUGUUUGAAUGGACGUGGCAAGUCUUGUUCAGACUCAGAGCUUGCUGCAAAAGGUGUAUUUCCACUUCAGUCGAACAAGACCCAGCCUGAGCUUGGUUGGAGAAACAAUCUUGGCACUUCAGAACAUCACCCCCGCCCCCACAUCUCUUUUGUAGAUAAGAUGGUGAAAACAAAUGUUGUAGGAGAAGAAUGAAAUCAUAAAUGCUCUGGCUCUUCUCAGCUUGCUUGAAUUUAUCGUUUGGGUCUGAACAUUGUUACUGCAGUUUUUCUGGUAAUCUGCUUCUUUUUUGUUUAUUUACAUUAUUUUAAUAGCCUAUGUGUAAACCCAUAAUAAUGUGCCACUACACUGAGAGUAUGUUACGUGCAUGCAUGAGCAUGUGCCUGUAGUUUCUUACAGUUGUGAAGUUUGGUUCUUAAAUGUAGAAGUUGUUUUCUUGGAUUGUUAAUUUUUUUGCCACCUUUCCAGGAUCUUGCCCUAAAAUAAUUGUAUUUCUUUAUGAAUAAGAUUGCAUUGACUUGAUAGGAGAGUUUUAAGAUGUAACUCUCAUUCUAUGCCGUCAUUAUAAGAUACAGUUUAGAUUUGUCUGUCAGUUUAAGAAACAUAGGACGUGAAAAAAGAAUCAGAAAUCAGCAGCUGAUGGAGAACAAGUGUUGUAUGGAGUGGAAAUAUGAACAGUUUUUCCAGCUCCCCUUUCAGCAGGAAAGCAUCUAUCAAGAACUGAAAUGAAAAAGACUGAGAAUAUUUGGCUGGACUUAAGACUGAGUCUAAUGAUGAUUCUUCCAAAAGACUGAGUUCUCAUAGCCAAUAACAUCUGCUAUGCCUUUUCCGUGUGCAAUUUUAUAAAUCAAAAGGUAACAGAUAUGACAGAAAGGCCUGAAAUGAUAUGGAUGAGCUUUCCAGUGAGCCUCCAACAAAGUGCAGAAGUCAAAGACCCUUCCAUUUGGCUUUGCUAGCAUCCACACAGCACUUCUGCAGAGUAUUGACGUCACUGGAGCUGUUCAUGUAGAUGUUUGCAGUGGGAUUUUUGUGUAUGGCAGAUUCAUAGAAUCAUAGAAUCACAAGGUUGGAAAGGACCUAGUGAUCCUAGUGAUUCUUGUAACAUGGAAGAUUUUCUUUUCCCUGGUAGUGCAAUAUGUAAACACACUCCAGUGAUGCAAAGCAGAGCUUACUUAUUGCAGCUUAUCACAGUGAAAUAGGCUCAUCAGCGCAAACACCCAAUGUCCUCUUAACCAUGGUGUAGCAAGAUCUCAGUAACAUAUAGAAGGUUUUGUAGGAUCAGGUCAUUAUUUGUAUAACAUUAAAGUCCUGCACUAUGUGCUAGGUAAAUGUAUGGUACUCUUCACAGCAUUUGUUUAUUAAGAAUUGAAAACACAGAGCACACCUAUAUGUCAGGAUGUAUAAGCACUGGUGGCCCUGACCAGCCUCACUUGGGGCUCCCCCUCCCCCUAACCCCUACCCUCCCAGCUCCCAUCCAUAAGCCCUCAUUCAGCUCAGCCUUGGGCUAUCCAGCAGAAGCAUUAGAUGCUAGUUGUGCUGCUAUGCCUGGCUGUGGGUUCAUUUUAUUCAUGCUGCAGUUCAUGUGCUGAUUUCUUCCCUUCACCUUGGUACUACCUCUUCACCACAGGCCUUCUCUUUGCCACCAGACUGCCCAGCCUGGCCUCAGGACCUGCCUCUUCGCCACGGGCCUGAGCAGUGAGCUUCAAUCUUGAUUAAACCUCGUUGUGGUUUUGGGGUUUGCCCUGCCCUGACACCAGCCCGUGUGUCCCACUGGCUGCUGUCCUGCUGUUGAUAUCUCAUAUGGAAUUGCAACACACAGGGCUGUUAGAAGAAAACCCUCAGUGGAAAAAGAAAAAAAGAAAAGUAAAAAAGAAAGAAAAACAAAGAAAAACAAAGAAGAGCUGUUUAAAUCCAGAACAAAUAUGAAGUUGAAGGUCAGGGAUGCAUGGAAGGUGCUGAACCCGCAGCAGGUAAGCCAAGCAGAGGAGGUAAGUAAAAGUAAAGAAUAUAUGCAUGAGACCAGUCAGCGGGGACAUGCUUGGGAUGGCUGUAGAGGCUGAGAAGAAACUCACUGCACUCUUAUGGUGAAUUUUCUCCUCAAGGUCACUUCUCUCAGCAGCUUGUGCCAGGGAAGGCAAUUUUCAGGUGAGUGUACUCGCAUAUGUGGUAUGUAUGGUAAUAAUAGAAAGACCAUCCUGGCUUUGUUAAAGGCAGAGAAAGUUUUGCCACUGACUCUGAUGGGGGUCAAGACUUCACUCUCUAGCAGCUCCAAAGAUCCAUGGAGAUCUGUUGCUAUACCAACAUGGACAACUGUAUAAUUGUUCCUAUAACUAUGCUACAACCUCACUGAUUGUAAUGGAACUCCACCAGUGAUUAAAGGCCUCAAAGAAUAAAUCUUAUAUAUGGCAGUAGUUGAAUACACAAAAAUAUUUUUGCUGAUUUCACACAAGUGUUCAAACUCUAAUUUCACGUUCUUUUCUGUACAGUGAUG
ensembl:lncRNA